CAGAGGUUAAGUGAUUUGCUCCGCAUCACACAGCUACCAGUCACUGAUUGUGCCAAAACAACAGAUUCCUCCCCACCAACAAUGGCUCACAGUGGGCAAUGUCUGCUGAACUCAUUGCAGUAAGAACCAGCAACUGGCAGGAACCUGGUGUCAGAACAAAGGCCGUGCAACUAUUGACAAACAGCACACACAAAAGACUGGAUCUGGAGACUGGCUUGGAGCCUUUAUAAACAGUCUUAUCCUGGAAAACAUCACCCCAGAGCCCUUCUGGACCUUGUCUAUUCCCAGCCACUCCUCACUUCCUAAUAACUAUUUAAUACAUUAGUCCUUGCUAAUUUUCUUUUCUA